UUAUUGAACAGUCAUUUGGGGAGGAACACCUGUGCUUUAGAACUCUUCAGCGUUUCACAGCAGCUACACUUGAGCAUGGAAUGAACCCCCCUGUGGCUCCUAAUCCAGAGUGGCGUGCCCUCUUGGAUGAGAUGUCUGUUGUUGCUACGAAAGAGUAUCGGUCUUUAGUGUUCCAGGAUCCACGAUUUGUUGAAUACUUCCGCCUUGCAACCCCAGAAUUAGAAUAUGGUCGCAUGAACAUUGGAAGUCGCCCAG
rnacentral:misc_RNA from 1 species